CGAGGGAGGGGCCGAUAUAGGGCUAGCCAGGCUGGAAAGUGGGCUCCUGGGGGGAAGGUCCCCAGGACUGCGGGGGCAGGGGCAGGGCUGAACAGACGCCAUGGGUCACAGGGAUCGGGCCAACGGGCCAUACCCUGUUCCAGCAAAGUGAGUGGACAUGGGACAGAGCAGCUGGAGUCCUAAGUGAGAACAGCGGCACAGGGCAGUGCACAUGGUCGGGGGGUCGAGGGGCUCAUCUGGGCCUGAGCUGGGGAAGCAGGCAAUGGCUGAACAGAACAGGGGGGAGAGGACCGGCCCAACCGGGCAGGGGCGCAUGGGGUGCUGGCGCCCCGUGGGAGAGGAAGGCCAGGGGCAGGGCUCGGCUGCAGCAGUGCUGCCAGGCAGGCUGGCAGCGGGAAGGGCAGGAGCAGAGGGAGGGCUCUGGCCUCAGCAGGCAGCUGGGAGGCCCAGAGCUGGGCUGCAGGGGCCGGGGCUCUGGGGAAAGCUGCCUCGGGUGAGCUCAGGGCCAAGCCAGGAGCCCCGGUGGAGGAGGGACCGGUGGGCCCAGAGGCCCAGAUUUGGAGCCUGGGCCAGGGCCGGAGGGAUGGCAGGGGAGGGGCCUCGGAGGAGACUACCUGCCCUCGCCCAGGGAAAGGGGCAUGUUGGUGCCAGGGACCAACGCGCACGGGCCUUGACUGCAGAGCUGACCCAGAGGAACGGGGCCUGGAGAGCAAACAGCAGGCCAGGACCAGGGGCCAGGAGCAGAGCAUGGGCAGUGGGUGGCAGUGGGUGGCAGUGUCCCUGCCAGGCUGGGGAAGCAGGACGGUGGCCUCAGGGGACCAGCAGAAGCUGGCCAGGAACACAGGCCACCCGCUGGUCGGGCCAGGCACCCACAGGGGCUCUGGGCCCUGGCGGGCUCUCAUCCAGGCGGUCACCCAGCUCUGACCAGGCAGCUGCGCCCAGAACCUGCAGCUGCAAUGGCAGCGAGCUGGGCGGCUGGUCUGCGGACUUUCUGGAAGCAAGUGGGUGCUGGGCGCAGCGGCCCCGCUGUUCUGAGGGCCCGAUUCGCUACCCGCCCCACAAGGAACAAGGCCCUGGCGGUCACGCAGCCUCCUCUCUUCCAGCCCCCAAGACGGCCCCAUCGGUCUACCCUCUGGCCCCCUGCGGCAGGGACACGUCUGGCCCUAACGUGGCCUUGGGCUGCCUGGCCUCAAGCUACUUCCCCGAGCCAGUGACCGUGACCUGGAACUCGGGCGCCCUGACCAGUGGCGUGCACACCUUCCCAUCCGUCCUGCAGCCGUCAGGGCUCUACUCCCUCAGCAGCAUGGUGACCGUGCCGGCCAGCAGCCUGUCCAGCAAGAGCUACACCUGCAAUGUCAACCACCCGGCCACCACCACCAAGGUGGACAAGCGUGUUGGACGACCAUGUCCCAUAUGCCCAGCCUGUGAAGGGCCCGGGCCCUCGGCCUUCAUCUUCCCUCCAAAACCCAAGGACACCCUCAUGAUCUCCCGGACCCCCAAGGUCACGUGCGUGGUGGUUGAUGUGAGCCAGGAGAACCCGGAGGUCCAGUUCUCCUGGUACGUGGACGGCGUAGAGGUGCACACGGCCCAGACGAGGCCAAAGGAGGAGCAGUUCAACAGCACCUACCGUGUGGUCAGCGUCCUACCAAUCCAGCACCAGGACUGGCUGAACGGGAAGGAGUUCAAGUGCAAGGUCAACAACAAAGACCUCCCAGCCCCCAUCACAAGGAUCAUCUCCAAGGCCAAAGGGCAGACCCGGGAGCCGCAGGUGUACACCCUGCCCCCACCCACCGAGGAGCUGUCCAGGAGCAAACUCAGUGUAACCUGCCUGAUCACUGGCUUCUACCCACCUGACAUCGAUGUCGAGUGGCAAAGAAACGGACAGCCGGAGCCAGAGGGCAAUUACCGCACCACCCCGCCCCAGCAGGACGUGGACGGGACCUACUUCCUGUACAGCAAGCUCGCGGUGGACAAGGCCAGCUGGCAGCGUGGAGACCCAUUCCAGUGUGCGGUGAUGCACGAGGCUCUGCACAACCACUACACCCAGAAGUCCAUCUUCAAGACUCCGGAACUGCUCCUGGAGGAGAGCUGUGCCGACGCCCAGGACGGGGAGCUGGACGGGCUCUGGACCACCAUCUCCAUCUUCAUCACGCUCUUCCUGCUCAGCGUGUGCUACAGCGCCACCGUGACGCUCUUCAAGGUGAAGUGGAUCUUCUCGUCGGUGGUGGAGCUGAAGCGGACCAUUGUCCCCGACUACAGAAACAUGAUCGGGCAGGGGGCCUAGGGCGCCCUCCAGGGCGGCCAGGGCCGCCCAGACCCGACAGGACCGCGUCCGUCAGCUCAAGCUGCUCCGCCUGCGCCAGGCCUGCCUCCGCCCUCUGACCUCGCCCACCUCUGGCUCUCGGCCACCUCGCCCGCACCUCUGCCCUCGGGCCUGGCGGCCA